rnacentral:rRNA from 4 species
CCAACUGUGUGAAUUAAUGCAAACUGCAUACUGCUUUGAACAUCGACAUCUUGAACGCAUAUUGCGGCCAUGGGUUAGCCUGUGGCCACGCCUGUCCGAGGGUCGG